CAGGAAGCGACGGCGAAGAACAAGGAUAAAGCCAAGAAAACGGACAGUGAGAUGAGUGACCAUGCAAGUAAAUGAUAAAGAAGCGACGGCGAAGAACAAGGAUAAAGCCAAGAAAACGGACAGUGAGAGUGACAGUGAGAUGAGUGACCAUGCAGGAAGCGACGGCGAAGAAGGGCAAAGGGAAGUGUACAAAGGAAAGGGACAGUGAGAGUGGCCAGGAAGCGACGGCGAAGAAGGGCAAAGGGAAGUGUACAAAGGAAAGGGACAGUGAGAGUGGCCAGG